GUUUUCGUGGUGUAACGGUAUAACACUCGGGUCAUAUUCGAGAGGUCCAGGUUCGAGUCCCGGCGAGGAUA
rnacentral:tRNA from 1 species